CGUAGUCGGUUCACAGGUCAGCACCGCGCAGCCUGGCCAGACAAACCGCUUGUCUGACGUUCGGCUCAUCUGCGAAAUGGGGAUAAACACCUCUAUCGACGCACUCUCACCUUGAGGGAUGUUGGGAGGACAGCUUUAAAUGAUUGGAAGACCCUCCAAAUCUGGGAAGAAUAUGUUUCUCAUCGUUUUAGUCCUGAGACCUACAUAGUGAUUGUGCCUGGCACAAAACAGGGAGAGGUGUCCCGGAAAUCACUGUGGAAGGAAGAAGCGGCGGAUUGGAUGUGAAUGUUUUGGUAAGACUCUAUUAUCCUCACUUUACAGAGAGGAAAACUGAGGCACAGAUUAAUGAAGGAUAAGAUGGGCCCGGUCUUUUAUACCCUUUGAACUUCUCUUCCAGCCAGGCAGCUGGAUA